GGACCUGACCGCUAUCGGAUUGAUACUAAGCCAUGCGAGUCAUUGUAGCAAUACAAGGCAUACGGCUCAGUAACGCGUAGUCAACCUAACCUAUGGACGGGAAUAACCUCGGGAAACUGAGAAUAAUGCCCGAUAGAACAUUAUGCCUGGAAUGGUUUAUGUUCCAAAUGAUUUAUCGCCGUAGGAUGGGACUGCGGCCUAUCAGUUUGUUGGUGAGGUAAUGGCCCACCAAGACUAUUACAGGUACGGGCUCUGAGAGGAGUAGCCCGGAGAUGGGUACUGAGACACGGACCCAGGCCCUAUGGGGCGCAGCAGGCGAGAAAACUUUGCAAUGUGCGAAAGCACGACAAGGUUAAUCCGAGUGGUUUCUGCUAAAGAAACCUUUUGUCAGUCCUAGAAACACUGAUGAAUAAGGGGUGGGCAAGUUCUGGUGU
rnacentral:rRNA from 1 species